GGUGGCAUGCCUAUGAGCUGAGUAGUCUAGACGAGGCAUCCUCACUCACUUGGACUCAGUUUUCAGAGAUGUUCUUGCAUGAGUAUGUUCCCCAGAGCCUCAGGGAUGCUUGGCACGCAGAGUUUGAGCAGCUGCGUCAGGGUGCUAUGACUGUGUCGGAGUAUGCAGUCCGUUUCAGUGAGUUAGCUCGCCAUGCACCGGCUCUGGUAGCUACAGUCAGAGAUAGGGUUCAUCGCUUCAUUGAGGGACUCCACCCCAGUAUUCGAACCAGUAUGGCCAGGGAGUUGGAGAUGGACAUCACUUAUCAGUAGGCUGUGAGCAUUGCCAGGAUAGUGGAGGGCAUGUUCGCCCAAGAUAGAGAGGAGAGAGAGGCCAAGAGGUCUCGAGAAACUGGUCAUUAUUCAGGAGCUCGUGCGCCAGCAACACGCUAUGGUAGGGGUUUUGUGAAUCGCCCUGUUCAUUCAGCUCUUCCAGUAGCCAGCGGUGUUCCCGCUCCUCCUAUACCUUAAGAGCCCUAUUAUGCACCGCCGGCCAGUCCAGCAGGCCAAGUCCGAGUCAGUCUCAGUCGCCGCAUCCUCCGAGGGGUUGUUUUGAGUGUGGUAACACUCGUCACAUGGUUAGAGAUUGCCCCAGAGCCAGGAGGGGUACACCUCCACAGACUUAUCAGCCUCCACGUGCACCACCGGGUCCUCCGCCCAUUCUUCCAGCCCUAGCUGCCACCCCACCUCCUCAGCCAGCUCGAGGUGGAGGUCGGGGAGGUCGAGGUUGCCCUAGAGGUGGAGGCCAGGCCAGGUACUAUGCCCUUCCAGCCCGUUCAGAGGCUGUUACUUCAGAUUCAGUCAUCACAGGUAUCGUCCCUAUCUGUCAUAGGGAUGAAUCAGUAUUAUUUGACCCAAGCUCUACGUAUUCAUAUGUGUCUUAUUAUUUUGCUCCACAUUUGGGGAUAUCUCGGGAUUCUUUGAGUUCCCCUAUUUAUGUAUCUACUACUGUGGGAGAUUCUCUUAUUGUGGACCGCGUGUAUCGGUCAUGUUUGAUUGCUCUUAGUAGUUUUGAGACCAGAGCCGAUUUAUUAUUGCUCAGCAUGGUGGACUUUGAUAUUAGUUUGGGCAUGGACUGGUUGUCGUCCCAUUAUACUAUUCUUGAUUGUCACGCUAAAACUGUGAUGCUGGCUAUGCCAAGUUUACCACGAUUAGAGUGGAGAGGUACCUUAGAGUAUACUCUCAGUAGAGUUAUUUCUUUGCUUAAAGCUCAACGAAUAGUUGAGAAGGGGUGUGACAUGUAUCUAGCUUAUGUGAGAGAUGUCAGUAUUUAUACCCCUACAAUUGAGUCAGUUCCAGUAGUGAGGGACUUUCCAGAUGUAUUUCCAGCUGAUCUUCUAGGCAUGCCGCCCGACAGAGAUAUUGAUUUUGGCAUUGAUUUGUUGCCGGGCACUCAUCCCAUCUCUAUUCCUCCAUAUCGUAUGGCUCCUCCUGAAUUGAAGGAGUUGAAAAAGCAGUUAUAAGAAUUGCUUGAUAAAGGCUUCAUUCAGCCUAGUGUGUCACUUUGGGGUGCUCCUGUCUUAUUUGUGAAGAAGAAGGAUGGUUCUAUGCGGAUGUGUAUUGAUUACCGCUAGUUGAACAAAGUCACAGUGAAGAACAGGUAUCCAUUGCCUCGUAUUGAUGACUUAUUUGAUCAGUUACAGGGUGCCAGAGUGUUUUCCAAGAUUGACUUACGUUCAGGUUAUCAUAAGUUAAAGAUUCGGGAGUCGGAUAUCCCGAAGACUGCUUUCAAGACCAGAUAUGGUCACUAUGAGUAUCUUGUCAUGUCAUUUGAGGUGACCAAUGCCCCAGCAGCCUUUAUGGAUUUGAUGCAUAGUGAGUUCCAAGAUUAUCUUGAUUCCUUCGUCAUUGUGUUUAUUGAUGACAUCCUGGUAUAUUCCCGAUCUCGGGAAGAUCAUGAGCAGCACCUGAGAACCGUGCUUCAGACUUUGAGGGAGAAGAAAUUGUAUGCAAAAUUUUCUAAGUAUGGAUUCUGGCUUGAUUCAGUGGCAUUCUUGGGCCACAUAGUGUCUUGUGAUGGGAUCAAGGUAGAUCCAAAGAAGGUGGAGGUAGUGCAGAGUUGGCCCAUACCAUCAUCAGCUACGGAGAUCCGCAGUUUCCUUGGUUUGGCGGGGUAUUACCAUCACUUUGUUGGGGGAUUUUCAUUCAUUACGGCACCUAUGACCAGGCUGACCCAGAACGGUGCUCCAUUCAGGUGGACUGAGGAGUGUGAGGAGAGCUUUUAGAAGCUCAAGACAGCUUUGACUACAGCCCCAGUAUUAGUAUUGCCUACAGGUUCGGGGUCCUACAUUAUCUAUUGUGAUGCCUCGAGGAUUGGCCUUGGAGCGGUAUUGUUGCAGGAUGAUAGGGUGAUUGCCGUUGAAGGUGCAUAAGAAGAAUUAUCCGGUUCAUGAUCUGGAGUUAGCGGCUAUUGUUCAUGCCCUGAAGAUCUGGCGUCAUUAUUUGUACGGUGUUCCCAUUGAGAUUUAUACUAAUCACCGGAGUUUGCAGCACUUGUUCAGGCAGAAGGACCUUAAUUUGCGUCAGCAGAGGUGGUUGGAGCUACUUAAAGACUAUGAUAUCACUAUAUUAUACUACCCGAGGAAGGCCAAUGCAGUGGCCGACGCCUUGAGUCACCGGGCAGAGAGUUUGGGGAGUUUGGCAUAUCUUCCGGCAGGUGAGAGGCCUUUAGCCUUGGAUGUUCAGGACUUAGCCAGUCAGUUAGUGAGAUUGGAUAUUUCAGAGCCUGGUCAGUUAUUAGCUUGUGUGGUUGCUCGGUCUUCUCUUUAUGACCAUAUCAGGGAGCGCCAGUAUGAUGAUCCUCAUCUUCUAGUUCUUCAGGACAGGGCUCGGCGAGGUGAUGCCAGAGAUGUGACUAUUGGUGAUGACGGUGUGAUGAGGAUGCAGAGCCGGAUCUGUGUGCCCAAUGUAGAUGGGCUUCGGGAGUUGAUUCUCGAGGAGGCCCACAGCUCGCGGUACUCCAUUCAUCCGGGUUCCGCGAAGAUGUACCAGGAUUUGAGACAGCACUACUAGUGGAGGAGGAUGAAGAAUGAUAUAGUUGGGUUUGUGGCCAAGUGUCUCCACUGUUAGCAGGUCAAAUAUGAGCACCAGAGGCCGGGUGGAUUACUUCAGAGGUUAAAGAUCCUAGAGUGGAAGUGGGAGCGGAUCACCAUGGACUUUGUAGUUGGACUUCCACGGACUUUGAGGAGGUUCGAUGCUAUUUGGGUGAUUGUGGAUCGGCUGACCAAGUCAGCUCAUUUUAUUCCAGUGUUGACCACUUAUUCUUCUGAGAGGUUGGCUAAGAUUUAUAUUAGAGAGAUUGUCCACCUUCAUGUUAUUCCAGUAUCCAUCAUUUCAGACAGAGGUACAUAGUUCACAUCACGGUUUUGGAGAGCCGUACAGCUGAAAUUCGGUACUAAGGUGGAGUUGAGCACAACCUUUCACCCUCAGACGGAUGGGCAGUCUGAGCGCACGAUUCAAAUUCUUGAGGAUAUGCUCCGUGCCUAUGUGAUAGAGUUCGGAGGGUCAUGGGACCAAUACUUGCCACUUACAGAGUUUGCUUACAACAGUUACCAGUCCAGCAUUCAGAUGGCACCGUAUGAGACUUUGUAUGGUAGGCGGUGCCGGUCCCUAGUGGGAUGGUUUGAGCUGGGCGAGGCCCGAUUGUUGGGUAAAGAUUUGGUCCAGGAUGCCCUAGAUAAGGUAAAGGUGAUUCAGGAGAGACUUCGCACAGCCCAGUCCAGGCAGAAGAGUUAUGCGGACUGGAAGGUUCUUGACUUGGCAUUUAUGGUUGGUGAGCGGGUCUUGCUUCGGGUAUCGCCUAUGAAGGGUGUCAUGAGGUUCGGGAAGAAGGGCAAACUGAGCCCGAGGUUUAUUGGUCCUUUUGAGAUAUUGCGGUGAGUUGGGGAGGUUGCUUAUGAUCUGGCCUUACCUCCCAGCCUAGCAGGAGUUCACCCGGUAUUCCACGUGUAUAUGCUCCGGAAGUAUCACGGUGAUCCGACUCUUGUAUUGGAUUUCAGCUCAGUCCAGUUGGACAAAGAUCUAUCUUAUGUUGAGGAGCCAGUAGCCAUUUUGGACAGGCAAGUCAAAAAGCUCAGGUCAAAGAAUAUUGCUUCAGUAAAGGUCCAGUGGAGGGGUCAGCCGGUCGAGGAGGCGACUUGGGAGACCGAGCAGGAUGUGCACAGCUAGAAACCUCAUCUUUUCAUAGUUUCAGGUAUGUCUUUAUACUCGUUCGAGGACAAAUGAUUGUUUUAAGAGGGGGAGGAUGUAACGACCCGGUCGGUUGUUGUGAGAAUUAGAUCCCCUGAUCCCCUAAUAACUGCUUUCCCCAUAUCUAUUUCUGCUAUUGUGACUUGCCGGGAUGAUUGGUUUUGAGUUUCGGAGUGUUUUGGGACACUUAGUCCCUACACUAGAGCUUAAGCCUUAGGAUUUGGACUGUAGUCGGAACUGUAUGAAGACAACUCCGGAAUGGAAUUCCGUCAGUUCUGUUAGCUCCGUUAGGUGAUUUUGGGUUAAGAGGCGUGUCCGGAUUGUAUUUUGGAGGUCCGUAGCUCAUUUAGGCUUGAAAUGGCGAAAGUCGAAUUUUUGGAGUUUUGGGCCGGUAGUGAAAUUUUUGAUAUCGGGGUCGUUUUUCGAUUCCGGAAGUUGCAGUAGGUCCAUAAUGUUGAUUAUGACUUGUGCGCAAAAAUUUGAGGUCAAUCAGACGUGAUUUGAUAGGUUUCGGCAUCAGUUGUAGAAUUUUGAUGUUUCAAGUUCUUUAAGUUAGAAUUGAAGGGUGAUUCAUGAUUUUAGCAUUGUUUGAUGUGAUUUGAGAGCUCGACUAAGUUCGUAUGGUGUUUUAGGAUUGGUUUUUAUGUUUGGUCGAGGUCCCGGGGGCCUCGGGUGAGUUUCGGACGCCUAACAGAUCGAUAUUUGGACUUAGAAGGUUGCUGAAGUUUUCUGGUGUCUGAGUUUUGGUUUUCUUAUACGCAAUCAUGUAGGGUGAUCCGCGAUCGCGUAGGCUAGCUGGGCAGAGGAUGGAAUUAUUCUUUGCGUUUGCGGACAUGGGCAUGCGAACGCGUAGUGAUGUGAGGUGGUGCUUCGCGAACGCAGAGACAAGGUCGCGAUCGCAUAAGGUUAAGUGUACCAAAGCUGGACAACGCGCUUUGCUCAUCGCGUACACGUGCGGAUGUUCGUGACAUGCGAACGCAUAGUGAUGUGAGGUGGUGCUUCGCGAACGCAGAGACAAGGUCGCGAUUGCGUAGGGUUAAGUGUACCAAAGCUGGAUCACGCGCUUUGCUCAUCGCUAACGCGUGCGGAUGUUCGCGAUCGCGUGAGUAGGGGAGCCAGAGCAUCGCGAUCGCGUAGAGUAAUUUCUGGGACAACAAAGUUGUUCUUUGUGAUCGCGAGGCUAUUUCCGCGAUCGCGAUUAAGGAAUCGCUGGGCAGUGUUAAAGUUUCCAAAAAUGGGGGUUUUGCCAUUUUACUAAAAAAACUUGAAAUAGAGAGCUCGGAUUUGGACGAGAUUUUGAGAAAUUUUCAGAGACAUCAAUUGGGUAAUAAUUCCUAACUCCUUUGUGGUUAUAUCCACUAAUCUAUCAUUAAUUUCCUCUUUAAUUUCGGAUUUUUGGUGUUGAAAUUGGAAAAAAUUUGGAAGAACUUCCUUAACAAAGAUUUCGAGUUUUGAAGGGGAUUUAUGAUCGGAUUUGAGCAAAUUUUAUAUGGUUAGACUCGUGAGCCAAUGGGUGUUCGUAUUUUGUAACCUUUACCCGAUUCUGAGACGUGGGUCCCACAAGCGAUUUUUGAGUUAAUUUCAGAAUUUUCGUUAAAAUGUUGAUUUCGUUAAUUAAAAGAGUCUAUUAUUGUUGUAUUUAUGAUAUGUAAUUGCUUUUGGCUAGAUUUGGGCCAUUUGGAGCCGGAUAUUCGUAGGAAAGGUAUUUGACCGAUUGAUUGAGCUUGGUUCGAGGUAAGUGGCUUGCCUAACCUUGCGUUGGGAACUUUUUUCUUAAGAUGUUUGAUAUUAAUUGAUGUGUGGGCGCCAUGUACGUGAGGUGACGAGUACGUACACGGGCUAUUAUUGCAAAAAUCCCAUUUUUCCUUUCUAAAUCAUAAAUUAUUUUCCCUUAUUAAAUUGCACUAAUACGUUUAAUUGUUUAGCUUAGAUUAGAGGAACAUGCUUACGUGUUUUAACUGCCUAUUUGACAUUCUGUGCGCCAUGCUUAGUUAAGUCCCUAUUUUCCUUAUCUGUAUUCAGUAUAAACUGUAUAACUCGAUGCCAUACCUGUCAUUUCAUCUUGCGUUGCAUAUUUAAAUUGGGACUACGGACGUAUUCCGGGAGAUCCCCCUGUCUUACAUAUUUAAUUUGGGACUACGGACGUAUUUCGGGAUCCCCCAACACUGCAUAUUUACUUUGGGACUACGGACGUAUUUCGGGAGAUCUCCCAGCACUGCAUAUUUACUUUGGGACUACAGACGUAUUCUGAGAAAUCCCUUUGUACUGCAUAUUCAUUUGGAACUAUGGGACGGUAUUCCGGGAGAUUUCCCACUGUGUUUACCUUGUUUUGAGCCGAGGGCUCCCUUAACUGUUAAAUUUUCAAGAAUUUCUUUAACUGUGUUACCGUAAAUUUUACUUAUAUCUUUUACUGUUUAAUUUAUUAUAUUUACUCCUGUAGGGCCUUGACCUAACCUCGUCACUACUCGACCGAGGUUAGGCUUGGCACUUACUGGGUACCAUUGUGGUGUAAUCAUGCCCUUUUCUGCACAUAUUUUCGUGUGUAGAUCCAGGUGCGAGCUAUCAGCCUCGGGGUUAGUGCAUGCUGCUGAUUCUAGGAGACUUCAAGGUACUUCUGCUUGCGUCCGCAGAUCUUCGGAGUCCCCUUCUACUCCCUCGCCUAAAGAUUUUCUUUAUUAUCUUCAGACUUUUGUAUAGAGCUACAUAGAUUAUAGCAGCUUGUGACUUAGUGAUAUUCCGGAUCUUGGAAAAUUAUUUUGUAUAUGUCGAGUGGUACUACUCUUGGCUAUUCACAAUAUGCUGUUUAUCUUUAAAAUGUUGUGUUUUCUUUAUAUAUUUUUUCGUAAUAUUAGGCUUACCUAGUCGUAAAGACUAGGUGUCAUCACGACACCUUACGAAGGGUUAAUUUGGCUCGUGAUAAAAGUAGCAAUUGCUAAAACAUGCUGGGACUUAGCUCAUAAACAGGACAAACUAUGGAUAAGGUGGAUCAAUGCUUACUACAUCAAACUGCAGCAGCUACAGCAUAUGCCAAUCCAACAUCAAGCAAGUUGGAUGGUGAGAAGAAUAAUUGGAUCAAGAGUUACCAUGUUGCAGGCACAGAACUUAAGUGAUCACAACAAGAGCAUUAUCAGACAAAUAUACCAAGAGUGAGCUAGAAAUGUCUAGUCUUUCAUAAUUCUGCAAGACCAAAGGCAGUCUUCACUAUGUGGCUGUUACUCCAUGGAAGACUACCUACUAAAGAUAGGCUAGUCAACUGGGGCUUAAAUGUCACCCCUCAUUGUGUUAUGUGUCAAGGUCAGGUUGAAUCAAGGGGGAGGCNNNNNNNNNNNNNNNNNNNNNNNNNNNNNNNNNNNNNNNNNNNNNNNNNNNNNNNNNNNNNNNNNNNNNNNNNNNNNNNNNNNNNNNNNNNNNNNNNNNNNNNNNNNNNNNNNNNNNNNNNNNNNNNNNNNNNNNNNNNNNNNNNNNNNNNNNNNNNNNNNNNNNNNNNNNNNNNNNNNNNNNNNNNNNNNNNNNNNNNNNNNNNNNNNNNNNNNNNNNNNNNNNNNNNNNNNNNNNNNNNNNNNNNNNNNNNNNNNNNNNNNNNNNNNNNNNNNNNNNNNNNNNNNNNNNNNNNNNNNNNNNNNNNNNNNNNNNNNNNNNNNNNNNNNNNNNNNNNNNNNNNNNNNNNNNNNNNNNNNNNNNNNNNNNNNNNNNNNNNNNNNNNNNNNNNNNNNNNNNNNNNNNNNNNNNNNNNNNNNNNNNNNNNNNNNNNNNNNNNNNNNNNNNNNNNNNNNNNNNNNNNNNNNNNNNNNNNNNNNNNNNNNNNNNNNNNNNNNNNNNNNNNNNNNNNNNNNNNNNNNNNNNNNNNNNNNNNNNNNNNNNNNNNNNNNNNNNNNNNNNNNNNNNNNNNNNNNNNNNNNNNNNNNNNNNNNNNNNNNNNNNNNNNNNNNNNNNNNNNNNNNNNNNNNNNNNNNNNNNNNNNNNNNNNNNNNNNNNNNNNNNNNNNNNNNNNNNNNNNNNNNNNNNNNNNNNNNNNNNNNNNNNNNNNNNNNNNNNNNNNNNNNNNNNNNNNNNNNNNNNNNNNNNNNNNNNNNNNNNNNNNNNNNNNNNNNNNNNNNNNNNNNNNNNNNNNNNNNNNNNNNNNNNNNNNNNNNNNNNNNNNNNNNNNNNNNNNNNNNNNNNNNNNNNNNNNNNNNNNNNNNNNNNNNNNNNNNNNNNNNNNNNNNNNNNNNNNNNNNNNNNNNNNNNNNNNNNNNNNNNNNNNNNNNNNNNNNNNNNNNNNNNNNNNNNNNNNNNNNNNNNNNNNNNNNNNNNNNNNNNNNNNNNNNNNNNNNNNNNNNNNNNNNNNNNNNNNNNNNNNNNNNNNNNNNNNNNNNNNNNNNNNNNNNNNNNNNNNNNNNNNNNNNNNNNNNNNNNNNNNNNNNNNNNNNNNNNNNNNNNNNNNNNNNNNNNNNNNNNNNNNNNNNNNNNNNNNNNNNNUGUUAUUUUCUUACGUUUGUUGACUAGAAUUGGAGAGAGUUUGUGUUUGAACUAUCAGCUUUUUUGAGAUAUUUUUGGGUUUAACAGAUACUUAAAUGAUUAAUUUCAAUAACUCCAAAGAUGCUACGCUAAAGGGCACUACAUUUUACUACGCUAAAAGGGCACUACAUUACAAAUACAAGCACUACAUUAGGGCACAAGAUAGACAUGGAACUAAAGUAAUAAUUUAUCUAUUUUACUAAUCUUUUAGCAAAUAAAUAAUCUAAAUCGGAUAAAAAUAACAAAUUAAUUUAAUCACAAAACAAUCACGAAAAAAGAUAUACCACAGUAAAAAUUAACUAAUUAGUAUUUUUUUAACAACUAAUAAUAAUUUCUCAAUUUUACUAAUUUUUUUAGUACACUAAUAAUAUAGUCCGGAUAAAAAAUAACAAAUUAAUUAAAUCGCAAAACAAUCACGAAAUAACAUAUAGCACAUUAACAACAACUAAUAGGCAUUUUUUAUACAUGAGUUUAAACAAAAACUAAGUCGGAAUACCUCGAUUUUAAUUUUUUAGAAACUUGAAGAUUUGGUGAUUUGGAGCCGAAACGAGCAACCCACUACGAGAUAACGCCUUAGUUAGGAUGUGAGACCGAGAAUCUACACUUUUUGUGGGAGCGGUGGGCUCCAACCGAGUUUUUUUUGCUUAAAAAUGGGGGGGGGGGGGAGCUCACUGGUUUGGUGGAGAAGGAGAGUGGACGCGUUUUUAUCUAGGUAUAGCGCCUUAUAUUAAGACGCUAUAGUAUACGUCUUAAUAUAAGGCGUUAUACCUUCCCGCUCAUUUUACGUUCAAAUAUAGCGCCUUAUAUUAGGGCGCUAUACUUAAUUGGGCAAACGAUUGUUAAGGUAUAUGGUCUUAAGCUUGGGCGUUAUAUAUAUUUUGGUUCCCAAUUUUUUUUCCACAUAUUUUAAUUCUUUGAGUUUAAAAGAGCCACAUUUUGGUUGAGGAGCCUCAAUUAUCUUGCCCUACAUAUGGUUAGAACAAUAAAUUUACAAAUCAGUUUCUCUUCAUAGAAAAAUUUCAAUUAACUUUAGUUUCCUUCCCAAAUAAAGUAUAUCAGACGAAAAAGACAGAUUGACGUUUUGUAGAAAAAAACAACAAAAACGGGAAGCUGUCUUUUUGUUCUUUUCACGUCACGGGAGUUAUAAGGAAAUUAAAUAUUUGUGCCAAUUAUUUAAUUAAUCUCAAACUACAUUUACCAUAACUGGUUGCUGGCAAUUCGAUAACGAAAAUAUCAACCUUGGUAACUAUUGGGUUUUCUUGAAUUGCGAAUUGAUUGGAGUAACCAUUAGGCACAAAUAAAUUUUUUCUAUAUAAUACUCCCAUUCCAUGAUCAAAAUUCCUUUUUAAUUUAGGCAAUUCAACGUUUUUUUUUUAUUUUUUUUUUUUUGUUGUUGUUGUUGUUGUUGAUAAGUUAGGAUUUUUCAUAGUGAUCGAUAGGGGUGUCAAGGUUCGGUUCGAUCGGUUAUUUUAUAAAAUUUGUAUUAUACCAAUUUUUCGGUUAUUCUAUUAUAUAUAUCUAAAAUUAAACUUUUCGAAACCGCUCCAAUUAUAUCGGAUUCUCUUCGGUAUCGGUACGGUUAAGUUAAUUUUUGUUUUUUAAAAAUGUCAUGUAAAAGUCACUAGUAAAAGUAGAAUGCAAUAUAUACAUACUUUUAUGGGGCUUAGCAUAACACUCUAGAUAGUUUUACUGUUUAAAUGGUGAUGGUUUAAGAAACAUGAAAGAUGGCUAGAGUAUAGAUCCAUCAACUACUCUACAACAACGUAAAAGAAACUAAGCAAAGACAAAAGAUAAAUCAUACGAGUAGAAAGAUAUUAAACAAGUCGAGACUCAAGAAUAAAGUCUAUAAAAGAUUAAAUAUUCAAAAAAAUAAAUCUAAAUCAUACGAAAGGAAACAUAUUCAAUACAUUGUUGUUGCUACUCAUAAUCGCUAGAAUACUUUGUGUCUUGCUAGUGAAUAUGCUGGAAAUAAUUUAAUUUCGGUAGAAGUAGCAUAAUAGGUUUGGGAAUUAUAAUUUUGAUUUUAAUUACUUAUUGGCUUGUAACCGUUUUCAUAAUUUCAAGCCCCAAGGAAAAAUUUAAUGCUUUAUUAUUUUUAAACUUAAUAUAUAAAUAUAUUUUUUAUAUAUAAAUUUAUUGGGUACGGUUCGGUAUUUUUUCGGUUUAUUUUCAUAAAAUAAAAAACUUGUCCUAAUUAUCGGUACAUUUGUAGAUUUGUAUAAGAAUUUAUGGAAUUAUUAAAAGAAACCUAAAAAUCGGUUAGGUGCAAUACGAUUCGGUUUAGUCGAUUUUUAAAUAUCCACUAAUACCCUAGUGAUCGACACCCGAUGUUUACACGCAAAAUAUGUGUCUUUCAUAUAUACACGAUAAAAUAUUAUAUGUUUUUCCACUUUAAUUUGAUUGCUAAAGCAAAUCUUUUUUUUCAGAAUUAAAUUGGACAUAAGUAACUCAUAUUUUCAAAAUAAAAUAUAAAUAAGCAAAAGCUACACAAAUAGAGUAUCCGUCCCCAUAUCAAAGUUACGAAGGCCAAAGGAUGGCAAUCAUAUUCGACUAUAUUCGACUAGAUGGUCAGGAGAUCCAUCCAAUGAUCCAGGUACUCCCAAAUCACUGACCUUGGUUAUUUAGCACUAUCUAUGCUAGUACUGACGUUAAUAAUAGGCAACAAUUAUGGCAAAACCUAGAGAAUAUAGCCAAUCAAUACAAAGGAAUGUGGUUCUUAGGAGGGGACUUUAAUGAGGUUAUUAGUCAAGAAGAAAAGUAGGGAGACCGAUUAAUAGAAAUAGAGUCUCUCGCUUUCAAUCUUGUGUUAACCACUGUAAUCUCAUAGAUCCUGGCUUUAAAAGAGCAAAAUACACUUGGUCUAAUCAUAGAUAUAAUCGUGCUAACCUAAUCCUUGAACGGCUUGAUAGAUGCUUUGUUAAUGAAAAUUGAUUAGAGUAUUACCCCAAUGCAAGCGUUACUCGCCUAUGAAAAACGUACUCUAACCAUAACCCCUACUUAUUUCCCUCUUUCAGCACAAUAGAAAUCCCAAUCCACGCAUUUUUCGACUUGAAACAUAUUGGUGCCACCAUCCAGACUUCAACUCCAUAAUUCUUGAUAACUGGAAUGGUCAAACCCUACCAAAUGCCACUACCCUUUUUACGGAAAAUGUUAAAAAAUGGGCAGCCACUUCUUUUGGUAAUGUUGUACAAAAGAAAAAGCAAAUCCUUGAGAGACUUGGUGGCCUUGAGAAAUCUUGGCACUAUCCUACUAGUAAUUUCUUGAAGGAACUUGAGCAUUCCUUAAGCAAUGACUAUAAUAAUAUUCUUAAAAUUGAGGACUAUUGGAAACUUAGGUCAGUAUUAAUUGGCUAAGCGAGGGGGACGCGAGCACUAAAUUCUUUCAUAUAAGUGUUCUCAAUAGAAGGCGUAAAAACCGUAUCUCUUUCUUCAAAGACGACCAAAACAACUGGAUUAAUAUCCAUGAUAGAAUCCUUGACCAUACCUUCACAUACUUCCAGAAUAUGUAUCAAACAAACCAUGACCUGACUAAUUAGGCUGAUAUGAAAUCCUCCACAAACUCCCUAUCAUACACAGAUUUAGUAUCCCUGGACAAACCGUUACAAAAUUACGAGAUUACUAGGGCUAUAUUCUCCUUCAAACCGUUCAAAGCACCAGGCCCUGAUGGUCUACAUUAUUUUUUUUUACCAAAAAUAUUGGCACAUCGUUAAGCAUACUGUUUUUGAUUAUUGCCACUCCUUAUUUGAGACCCUCACCAUCCCGGAGAAUCUUAAUACUACCUAUCUUUGUUUAAUUCCAAAAUUCCCAAAUGCAAAUAACCUCAAGAAUUUUCGUCCUUUGCAAUACAAUAUACAAAGUUAUUACGAAAAUUAUUGUUAACUGUAUCAAACCAUUCCUUGAUAGCCUAAUUGGCCCAUUCCAAUCCAGCUUCCUUAAAGGGCGACGAGCUUCGGAUAACGCUAUCAUCAUUCAGGAAAUUAUUCAUCCCUAUAAUAAAUUAAAGGGAUCCAAUGGGAAACUCCUUUUAAAAAUUGAUUUAAAGAAAGAUUUUGACCGACUUGAAUGGUCAUUCAUAUGUAGAGCCCUAAACAACUACAAAUUUUCCUCUCGUAUCACUAAGCUUAUCAUGUCUUGUAUUACCACCUCCCGUAUUGCCGUUCUUGUGAAUGGCUCUCAAACAGAGUUCUUCAAGCCAUCAAGUGGAAUGAGACAAGGCGACCCUAUGUCGCCGUAUAUUUUUGUGUAUUGAACUUCUUUCUAUCCUCAUUAAUCAUCAAAGUGGAUUUAAUACUUUGGGAUCCCGUUAAAUUAAGUCCAAGAGGACCUCCCAUAUCCCAUUUAUUUUUUACGGAUGAUUUAACCCUAAUGGCUAAUGCCAAUGAGAAAUUCGCCACCACAAUCAAGAGCUGCCUAGAGUACUUCAGCUCCCUAUCAGGGCAAAAAAUCAACCUUACAAAAUCCAAGCUCAUUUUCUCAAAGAAUUCCUCUACUACCCUCAAAAAUUCCAUUUCAAACAUUCUUAAUAUCAAAGUCGGUGAUACCUUUGGGAAAUUCCUAGGCUUUUCAAUUCUUAAUCAUAAGCCUAGACCAAUUGACUUUAAAUUCAUCCUAGACAAUUUAAAUAAAAGAUUGUCCAGCUGGAAACUCAAUUUCUCUCACUUGCAGGAAGAGCAACCCUAGUUCAAACUACCCUUAAUGCCCUUCCAAACUAUGUAAUGCAAUACAUUAUUCUGCCUAGAGCGAUCCACAAACAUAUUGAUAAAAUACAAAGAGAUUUUUUAUGGGGUAGUAACCAAAAUUCCAGAAAAAUCCACUACAUAAAUUGGGACAGUGUCUUAAUGCCAAAAGGUGCUGUGGGACUUGGAAUAAGAAAAGCCAAAGAUAAAAAUAUUGCCAUUAUUACUAGCCUUACUUGAAGACUAUUUAGCCAUCCAUCCACCGCUUGGGUGAAAGUUCUAACCUCCAAAUAUGUUGGUAGAUACUCUAAGAAUACUCAUUCCUUUAUCUGGAGUAACAUCCUCAUGGGUUGAAAAAUUUGCGAACAAGCCAUUGUUUGGAAUAUCGGGAAUGGCAAGAACAUUGACUUCUGGCAUGCAAAUUGGCUACCUUGUACUAAAAACCUGCGUAGCAUGAUUCAAGGCCCCCUCUCAAACAAUGAUUUGCAACUCAAAGUUUGAAAUAUUAAAAUAAAUAACAUAUAGGACUUGUCAAACCUCUCUUUCGAACUUCCACCCCAUAUCUCAAACGAAAUUCUCUCCUUACAAAUAACCAAUGGUUAUAACAACAUUGAUGUACCAAUGUGGGUCCCUACCACAGAUGGUAUAUUCACCACCAAAUCCGUUUACCCCCUUAUAGCUCCCAAUAUAGUACUAAAUCAAAGCAAAGACUUCAAAUGGUUUGGAAGUAAAAAACUUGGAAUAAGAUCAAGUAUUUCUUAUGGCAAUGCUACCAUGAUCGAUUACCCACCAAAAGCUACCUAAGUCAUAUUGGUAUUAGUAUAUCAAUAUACUGCUCCAUUUGUAACUUAGUAGAAGAAUCGCCCCAACAUAUCUUCUCUUCUGCCCCAUGGCCACCUCCUUAUGGCAAGAGCUGGGUAUUAACACACAAUCACUAGACAUACAAAAUAUCCAUUGUCUCGAAGCUCUCUAUAAAAUUGACCCACAGGUUAAUUAUCACUCCUUAACUUGGGAUUGCCUCUUCUCCUUUGCAAUUUGGCACUUGUGGUUGAAUAGGAAUAGGAACACUUUCCACAGACUUUGCCAACCUCUUAAUCGAAACCUUGUAAUCUCUAGAAGUCUUGAAUACCUCCAUUGUAGUAACAUUACUUGUGGUAACCUAGACAGACCCUAACAGUACUACCUAAGUGGGACCCCCCUUCCAUGAACCAAAUAAAGCAUAACUGGUUUUACUAAAUCCCAUUAUCCAAUCCCCAUUUAGAGAUAAUAAUGGGGAUUGGAUAAUGGGAUUUAGUAAAACCAGUUAUGGUCCAUCUCCACUAUCCAUGGAACUACAUGCAUUAUGCUAUGGAUUGCAACUAGCAAACGAUCAUAACUUGACCAACCUUCAAAUUGAAACAGACUCAACGUCCGUACCAAUCCUAUUUGAAACUUCAAAUUAUCCAUCAUAUAAUGCACUAAUCUCUGAUUGCAGGUACUGGCUGAGGAGGUUGGGGAAUCCACCAAUCCAACAUAACUUCCGAGAAGGAAACAAAGUAGCACAUGAACUAGCACAACAAUGAGUCAAGCAAGCCAACGUCUACUAUUCUCAAGUAUAUCCAUCCGUACCAGAAUUUCUAAUGGAUGCAAUCCAAGCUAAUAAGGCAUCACUACUACUAGGAUCAAUACCACCAACGUUGUUGUUUCAAAUGAAAACUCUGCUAUGACAUCUUUUAGCUGUAAUAGUGCUAGUACUAGUAUAAAUAAGUCUGCUCCCAAUGGGAGGACAAUGUAUUGUUACUCUUCUAACUAUUUGUUAAUAAACUAUCUUUUACUACCCAAAAAAAAAGUUACGAAGGAAUACAUUCUAAGUAUUUUAGUCGAAAAUUACUUAGUUUAACUCUUGACUAAAGAGAAAUAGGAUAACCAUUUGAGAGGAGGGAGUUGUGCUGUAAUAUAUUUACAAAAUUUGAAGAAUUCAUAUUAGUUUAAGAAAUUCAAACUUAAAUUUUAAUGAAUGUUUUCUCUAUCGAGCUAAUUAUUUUACAAACAGUUUAAUAUUUUUUUCACCACUACUAAUAUACUAUUAUAAUUUAAUUGAUAAUCAAUUCUGUUUAUAACUAUAAUUGCUAAAUUAUGAAGUUUUUCCUUCGGUUGUUUAUUUUCGCUCAUAACUAUAUUUUAAGGUUAAAGGGUUAUGGUUUCAACAACUGAUAUUAUUUGCAUUUAAAAAUUUAGGUAGCACUAGGACAAAUUUUAGAAGUUCUUAAGAUAUUACCAAAAGGAAAAUAGUACCAUCUCCCCAUUUAAAAGAUAUUGCUACCAAAGGACCUUAAAAAGAACAGAAACUUUAUUCACUGAUCAUUUUCUGAGAUUUAGCGCGCUUCGAAAAACUUUAAUUCUUUGCAUAUAUUCAAUGAAGGUACGUAUAGUAUAUAGUUUCUUGAAAUGUCUCACCAAUUGAUUACUACAUCACGAGACAAGAGUCAAGAGAUUGAUGUCAAUGAGAGAAUCCGAAAUCAAAGUAAUGACCAAUUAAACUCAAGCGACCAAACUAGGAGGGGGAAAAGGCAGAACAAUAUUACCUAUAUUCAUGCGCACAAUAUUACCUAUAUUCAUGCGCUAUACGUCUCUCCCCUAGGCGGUCUAAGUUAAUGACCAAUUGUAUGUUGGUUUGUUCAUAACUAGUAUAGCCUUCGUUAGCAAAAUUCAUGUCUGGCCGAUACGCCCUAUGAAAGAAACACAUAUUAUUAUUAUAAGCAAAAAGACAAAUAAUAAUACGACAAAUAGUAAGUAAGUAUAUAUUUACCACUUAGCUUGUGAAGAUUGCCAAUUUGUCGGCUCAACAUGGUGCAGCAUUGGCGAGAAGUUGUAUCCUCAUUUCUCGUUAAGCCGUGGAGAUACGUUCAGAUCAGGUCACACUCUUUCAUACGUAACUUGUUAUGAUAAAAUAACUCUAAAAUUACCCCCAGAUGGUUGAGUAUUAGCCAUUGUUUGCGGAUCCUCAUUCCAAUUCACAACUUCGAAGCUUACUUACAUUUCCAACAUGUUUAUCACAAGAACAUCCCUUUAUUCGUUCGAAGUCCUUAAAAAAUCUUGCAGCAUUUCAUCGUCAUUGUUAUAGAAGUCGGCAUAAAAACCCACUCAUUGCGGUGUAAGAGAAUACAGAUACCAAUAUUUGGUAGGGGUGUCGAUGUUUCGGUUCGAACGAUUAUUUUAUAAAAUUUGUAUCAUACCAAAUUUUUGGUUAUUUUAUUAUAUAUAACCAAAAUUAGACUUUUCGAAACCGUCCCAAUCAUGUUGGUUUCUCUUCGGUAUCAAUACGGUUCGGUUAAUUUUUGGUAUUUUUAUUAAUGUUAAGAAAAAGUCACUAGUAGAAGUAGAAUGCAAUAACAUACGCACUUUUAUAGAACUUCGCAAAACUCUCUAGACAUUUUACUGUUUAAAGGGUGAUGAAUUAAGAAAACAUGAAAUAUGGCGAUGACCAGAGUAUUAAAUCCAUCAACUAUUCUACAACAGCAUCAAAGAAACUAAGCAAAGACAAUAAAAAUAUAAAUCAUACGAAUGAAAAGUUAUUAACAAAGCUGGGAUUCAAAAAUAAAAUAUAUGGAAGAUUAAAUAUUCAAAAAGAUAAAUUUAAAUCAUACGAAAGGAAACAUAUUCAAUACAUUGCAGUUUGCUACUCAUAAUCGCUAGAAUACCUUGUAUCUUGCUAGUGAGUAUGCUGAAAAUAAUUUAGUUUCAACAGGAGUAGCAUAAUAGUUUGGGGAAUUAAGAUUUUGAGCUUAAUUAUUCGUUAGCUUUUAUCCAUUUUUAUAAUUCCAAUGCGAAAAAAAUAAAUUAGUGCAUUAUUAUUUUUAAACUUAAUGUAUAAAUAUAUUUUCUACAUGUAAAUUUAUUCGGUACGGUUUAGUAUUUUUUCGAUUUAUUUUCACAAAAUAAAAAACCUAUCCUAAUUAUCGGUACAGUUAUAAAUUUAUAUAAAAACCUACGGUUUUAUUAGAAGAAAUCUAAAAGAUCGGUUCGGUUCGAUACGAUACGGUUCGGUGGGUUUAGUCGGUUUUUAAAUAUCCGUUGACACCCCUAAUAUUUGGUACUCCAAUGUUAUUGGUAAAUUAACAAUACUUUGUAGAGAACAACUACAGUGUACUGAAUUAUUCUCUUCCACAACGUUACUGCCCCAGUAUAAUGCAAUCCUAACUCGUUGUUCAUCUGUCAUUGUGGAAAGAAUUAAAGGAAACUUUGUAUAGAUUGGUGAAGAUGAAGAAAAAUAUAGAUAAUGCUGAAGAACAAAGGCAAAUUCGCUUCAAAUUCACUCAAGAUUGACUUCUUCAAGAAUGGAAAUCCGGCAUAUGUAAGUCGUAUGAUCAGUCGGGCGUAAAUAAAAGUGUCUUUGGCACAUGAAAAAUGUACAUACUAUAGAUACUUUGCAGUAUAAUUAUCAGGGCAGUGAUUCAGAAAGUCAGAAAAUUUAGACAAUAAAAAGGAAUCAUAUGGCGUAUGAAUUUAACUAGUGCAUAGAGUCAUAAACUGUAAUAUUCUUAAUUAAAGUACUCAAUAAUACAAAACUAAAAAUGUUUGUUGACAAAAGUUUUGUCCAAAACCAGCAAAUAUCAACCAAAGAGAGAAAACUGUAGAUAAAGGAAUAAAUUUAAUCACUAGAAAUGUCUUGUUACACUCUUAGAGUUAAUUGAUGAACUUGGAGAAUAAAGAAAAGUAAAAUUUUAAUUUUUUUAUAUUUAUAUUAUAAUUAAUAAUACGUAUUAUGUAAUAUAAUAUAUAUUUUGGUACGAUAUCGGUAUUUCAAUAUUUCAUUUUAAAAUACCAAAUACCAUACUUAAUACGAAUUUUAUUUUAAAACUUAAAUCAAAUAAUACCAUAACAAAUACCAAAAUAUCGAAUCCUAAUACCAAAAUGUAAUUCGGUAUUACAAAAUUAUGCGCAACUCUAAUUAUAAGUAAUGUAGGUAUGAAACUUUGGUAGGCGCGCAGCCAAGAAUAAAAAACUUAAAGUCAACUACGGUGUCUGUCAGCAUUUAAUGUCAGAAGUGACCCUAACUUAAUUUAAAAAAACUUAAUUUAAGUUUUAUCAAAUUUUAACAAAAUUUUACACCUUUUUAUUAUUUGGCCGAACCCAAGAAGUUUCUCGCCGUUUUCAUAUUAUCAACGGAAGCAAACAAAAAACUCAUAAUCCACUGGUAACUUUUAAGUAAUGUGAUUAUAUAAGGUUCUUUUUUUUCUUUUCUUUUUUUACAAAUUCAGAUAUAAAAGGCAGAAUAGCCUAAAUGAUACUUAUACUUGUGUCAUUUUGUCAUCUCGGUUCUUCUACUUAAUUUAUUUUUAUCCAAACUCUUUUACUUUAUCAAAACUUAUAUUUUAAACUCUUAUGACCGUUGACCGAUCAUAUGUGACAACAUUAUAGCUGAGUUGGACAACAAGCGUGUAAUUCACGCGUACAACGAGACAUAAAAAAUUGGCCUAAGAUAUGAUUGAACUAAGAAGAAAAUAAUAAUAAAAUUAAAAAAAAGAAAAAUUUAAAGAAAGUAAACUAAACCCCCUUCCCGUUCUUCCCCAAAACCCAUCUCCCAUUUCUAUUUCUUUUUCUCUUUCUUCCCAUUCCCGUUCUCUUCCCCCCCAACCCACACCUCCUCCUCCAACCACUCUCCUNNNNNNNNNNNNNNNNNNNNNNNNNNNNNNNNNNNNNNNNNNNUCCCCUUCCCGUUAUCACCCCUCCCCCCCACCUGCAUCCCCCUUUCCCGUUCUCCCUGCCAAUUUUCACCCAAAAAUCAUUUUACCUUGAACCUAUUCUUAUCCAACAAACAAAAACCAUUGUAAUUUCCAGAUCACACUUUUCUAAAGAGUAAAGAAUGGGUUGUUCGAUUUUAAUGAAGAAGUGAAUCUGCUUUUUUGAAGAAAAAAAAUAUUAAGUUUAUCUAGAAAUGAAGUGUGUUUUUUGUCAAUAAUAAGAAACCAAUGUAGAAUGAAGGGUGAUCUCCAAAUUUUAAUGGUGUUCUCUGGUGGCCGGAGGAAUUAUCCGGCGAUGGCAGUGGUGGAGUUGUUGGCAGCAAGGAAAAGAGAUGGUGGAGCAGGGGAAAAAAUAAAGAUAAAGUCAAUAGUUUAUUUUCAUACGAAAGAGAAUGUAUUACACGCACUGAUAACCGUUUAUCAUAAGCGUUUAUUAUACACGAUUUGAACGAGGGUAAGUGUUCAAAUUAUAAAAUACUAAGUUUGGGGACAAGUUUAGGGACCGAGAGGACAAGUGACACAAUUGUCAUUUAGGCUAUUCUAAAGUCACACUACUUACUAGGAGUGUACUUUUUAAGGAUUUAUCAUUUAAGUUACGCAACCUAACACUGUAAAUGAUUUUACACGAACAAUGUUAUGUCGUUUCACUAAUUGUAACCUUUUAUGCAUUAUACUUUCUAUGUCACAAUCCACCAUUAUUAUUGACAACUAAUAUGGACGGCUUUAAAUGAUUUGAAUUUUGAGAGUUCAUAUAAAAAUUUACCCUCUUUAAUUGACCAUUUGAAUCAAAUUGUAGAACAUACAAUUUUAGCUUUAAUGUUUUCAAUUGAUGUCAUCACUCCAGAUGGAAAUUUAGAUAGUGGAGAAAUAAAUGCAUACACCCACCUCAACUACUCAUCUUAAUUACCCCUUCACUUUCCCCUUUAUAACUGAAAGGAACUAAAAAAUAAUUCAAUCUCACUUCUUAGUUCUUAUCCUAUUACAGCCUCUGAACACUUAAAACAGCAAUGGCAGAGCACAAGAUUAUAGCAGAAAACACCAUAGAAGAUGCCUACAAGUUCCUCAACAUUACCCAAAAUCCAGAUGGCUCUCUCACUAGAAAAUACCCAUUUCCUAAUGUACCUCCAAAUCCAGAAAAUGAUCCAAAUUCACAACUUCUUUCACUCUCUAAAGACAUUCCUCUUAAUCCCACUUCAAACACCUUCAUUCGCCUCUUUCGGCCCGUUAAUCCGCUGCCUAACACUAAAUUACCGUUGAUCAUAUACUUCCACGGCGGUGGCUUUAUACUCUUUAGUGUGAGUUCUAUUAUUUUCCAUGAAUCUUGUAAUGCUAUGGCAGCUCAGUUCCCUGCAUUGAUUGCUUCCGUAGAGUAUCGUCUCGCCCCCGAACACCGCCUUCCGGCCGCGUACGACGACGCCAUGGAUGCCAUUAACUGGGCUAAAGAUCAAGCUCUUAGUAGUGGUGAUCAUGUUGAUCCAUGGUUGAAAGAGUUUGUUGAUUUUUCAAAAAUUUUUUUGAUGGGUAGUAGUGCGGGAGGAAAUAUUGUGUACCAUGCAGGUCUACGUGCAGUCGAUCUUGAUCUUGAUCCGAUCAAGAUCGUAGGGCUGAUUAUCAAUCAGUCCUACUUUGGUGGGAUUCAGAGAACAGAAUCUGAACUUAACUUUGUUAAUGAUAAGGUUGUGCCUUUGCAUGCAAAUGAUCUGAUGUGGUCACUUGCAUUGCCUAACGGUGUAGAUCGCGAUCACGAGUAUUCUAAUCCGUUUAUUACUGAGACUAAAUUGAAAGAGAUGAUCGGACGGCUGCCGAGGUGUAUGAUCAGAGGGUAUGCAAGGGAUCCACUGGUUGAUAGGCAGAAGAGGUUUGCUAAGAUGGUAGAGUCACAUGGUGUGCACGUGACUUCUCAGUUUCUUGAAACUGGACAUCAUGCUGCUGAGAUAUUUGAUCCCAAGAGUGCUCAAGAUUUGUAUGAUUCUAUCAAGGAAUUCAUCAAAUCUAGUUGCGAUGAAAAUGUGGGCAAAUCAGCCAUGUGAAAAUUUGCUUUGAAGUCAAUUGGGAUCAUUAAUGUUUUAACUUCUUUAUAGCUUUUACAAUUAAGAUAAAGGAGAAGGUUUAAUGUAAGUUAGUUGGACUUAAUAAGUAUUGUUAAGACAUCAUUACACAAUGUGACUAGGUCGCAAAUUUACAUAAAUGUCUAAUAAAAACAAAUAUGUCACUGUUCAAAAUUAACAAUAUCUCAACUUUGAGUUAUAUCUAAUUUCGGGUCAAUGGUGCAUUUGGAAAUAAUUAGUACUAGUAUAAUUGAAGUAUCCACUGGGAUAAAAGUUCAUCUUAAUUACUGUAUAUGUCGUCAAAUUGUAAGUUUCAACUUUCAACAGCCUUCUUGAUAUAGCACUUUCACCGUUUCACGUUAUUGCAUUCUUCGUUUCUUCAAAAAUUAUAUAUAUAUAUANNNNNNNNNNNNNNNNNNNNNNNNNNNNNNNNNNNNNNNNNNNNNNNNNNNNNNNNNNNNNNNNNNNNNNNNNNNNNNNNNNNNNNNNNNNNNNNNNNNNNNNNNNNNNNNNNNNNNNNNNNNNNNNNNNNNNNNNNNNNNNNNNNNNNNNNNNNNNNNNNNNNNNNNNNNNNNNNNNNNNNNNNNNNNNNNNNNNNNNNNNNNNNNNNNNNNNNNNNNNNNNNNNNNNNNNNNNNNNNNNNNNNNNNNNNNNNNNNNNNNNNNNNNNNNNNNNNNNNNNNNNNNNNNNNNNNNNNNNNNNNNNNNNNNNNNNNNNNNNNNNNNNNNNNNNNNNNNNNNNNNNNNNNNNNNNNNNNNNNNNNNNNNNNNNNNNNNNNNNNNNNNNNNNNNNNNNNNNNNNNNNNNNNNNNNNNNNNNNNNNNNNNNNNNNNNNNNNNNNNNNNNNNNNNNNNNNNNNNNNNNNNNNNNNNNNNNNNNNNNNNNNNNNNNNNNNNNNNNNNUAGAGGUGAAUUCAAAAUUUUAAAGUGUUUUUUAGGCUUUUUAACACAUAAUCAUUCCUCAUCCAAUGUUAUUACUUGAAAAAAAAAAAAUAGAAAGACAGAAUUGAAAGAAGGCUUGGGAGGGUGUAAAUUCCCUGUCCUCGAAGAAAUGUUGUUCAUAGGAGUAUUUAUUAUUUAGAGAAAUACAAGCAAGUCCCUCUAGGAUCCAGCAAAUCCACAAUUUACGUUGUACAAAUUAACUAGAUUACUUGUUUAAGGAAGACUUCAAUUAAUAGAGCUUGAAACAGGAUGUUCUAACUUCUAAAUGAUCAUAAUUUCAUGAACAUUCAUGGUCAUUCUUUUUGGUAAGAAAAAUAAGUAGAUAAUAUUGACCAAGAACAAGAAGGAAACAAAAAUAAUUUAUCAAAAAAUAUUGUAUUGUGGCAAGUCGCUGCCUUGAAAGCGAUAUCGGUCCGACUAGGUAUAAAUUGUUAAAACCGGUUGCUCCCCAAAGUUCCACAAUACCUCCAAACACUAGCACUAGUGGUUGAAUGUUUAGAAUUUGCACAAUUGCCGAGAAAUCGGUUGAAGAAGAAGAGUAGAUUAAGUUAUUUUUUUGUGUUUGAAAACUUCACAAAAUAACCCCUAAUAUAGAUAAGAUGCUAGAGCUGUUAUAAGAAAGAGAAUUAAAUUGGGGGUUAUAAAAAUAAAUGAGCUAUUACAGAAUUCAAGUAGCAGUUACAACCAUUUAAAGUAUAGCUGUUACAAAGUCAGACGUUAUUAAAUUCAAUUCAAAGAGAAUGAAUUUGGACAUAUUCUCGUAAGCAUGUAUUUGGAUACUUUUCUGGUAAGCUCAAAAAUUGAAGAAAAAUUUGUAGCAGAACCAAAUUUGGAUUAGGCCUCACGUAUAUCUCGCGGGGGAGGGGCAAAUCGACCAGUUUGCCUUCAGGACCAAUUUCUAAUGUGCGUGAGGCCACCCCCUUUUACUAGCUCUUUACAAGCCCAACAAAGAGCAAUUCAAUAUAAAGAGAGAAAAAAGACUUUCCACAGCCAAUGAGGAAUACUUUGUCUUUCACAAAUGACAAAGAAUUGAAGAAGAAAAAGGACCACAAAGAAAUAUUUGACUUUGCAUUACCAAGUAUAAAUAAUACCAAUAAUCCCCCACUAAUGCAAAGAUAAAAUUAGAAUAAGAAUAAUUCUAGGCAAAAGAAGGAACAUGUACUUAAGUGUCAAUAUCUUUUGAUUUGAAUUGACACAUAGUGAAAUGAGGCAAUAACUAACAUCCACAAAGUGAAGUACUCUUGAACUGAAUGAAUAUUAGUUGAGACCCCCACAACACAUAUUAUAUCCUUAAUUUUAUGCAAAUUUCGCGAUACUAACAAAAUUACUUUUAUGGUCAUGCACAUACCUUGGGUCUCAUGAGUGCUCCAGAAAGACAUCCCAAGUCUUUCAUAAAAGACGACCCCAUAUUUACACUCACGUAGGUGAUUCCAUCAAGUCUAUCUACACAUAGACCACCUUAAGACUAUGGAAUCAUUAAGAGCAGAAUAAACUCAAUCUUAUAAAGCACUACCACACGCCAUAGGGAUAGAAAAUGUAGUGCAUAUUGAGGUCUCAUAUGGUUUCAUUUGACCACAAACAGGUAUCCACCAUACUUCCUCAAUCCAUGGGCUUUAGCCCCAUCCCUCCCGACGUUUCAAGGAUAACUUUCCUUGCCAAACCCUUGGUUGAAGGAUCCGCCAAAUUUCUUUUGGAUCUUACAUAUUCAAAGGAAAUAACACCAUGCUUCAACAAUUGUCUUACCGCACCAUGUCUAAUGCGUAUAUGUCUUCGUUUUCCAUUAUACGCACUAUUUUUGGCAAUUUCAGUUGCCGCAUGUGAGUCAUAAUGUAGAGAAACUGGUGAAACUUGUCUUCCCCAUAAAGGCACGUCUGCCAAUAUGUUUCUCAAUCACUCGGCUUCUUGCCCUGCCAACUCAAGAGCAAUGAAUUCAGACUCUAUAGUAGAUCAUGCUAUACAAGUCUGUUUUGAAGACUUCCAUGAAAUAGUACAUGCACACAAAGUAAAUACAUAGCCACUAGUGGAUCUACCUUCAUCAUUGUCAGUAACCCAGUUUGUAUCACAAAAUCCUUCUAAGACAACAAAAAAAUUAUUAAAAUACAAAUACCAAUCCAUAGUACCUCUCAAAUAUCUUAACAAGCGAUGAAGAGCAUUCCAGUAUUCACUACCGGGGUUGUGAGUAUAUCUACUCAAUCUACUAAUAACAUAAGCAUUAUCAGGUCAUGUAUAAUUCAUGAGAAAUAUUACACUACCAAUUAUCUUAGCAUAUUCAGUUUGAGAAAUACUUGAUUCCUUAUUCUUUCUCAAGUGUAUUCUAGGAUCAUAAGGAGUUCUCACAGGUGUUACAUAAAAACAAUUAAACCUUUUCUACAUUUUCUCAAUAUAAUGAUAUUGAGAUAACGAAAAACCAUUAGAAGUUCUUUUGAUUUUAAUCCCUAAAAUCAUAUCUGCUUCUCCAAGAUCUUUCAUUUCAAAUUUUAUGAUAAAAUAUUCUUAGUCUCAUUAACAACAUUCAUAUUAGAGCCAAAGAUUAACAUGUCAUCCACAUACAGACAUAUAAUCACACCAUCUGAUCCUACCGUCUUGGAAUAAACACAAGUAUCAGAUGCAUUAACAACAAAACCAUUACUCAUUAAUAUACUAUUAAUCUUUUCAUGCCAUUGCUUAGGUGCCUACUUUAGACCAUACAGAGACAUUCUCAAUUUGCAUAUUUUAUUCUCCUGUUCUUGGAUCACAAAUCCCUCAGGUUGAGACAUAUAGAUCUCUUUCUCUAAAUCACCAUUUAGGAAAGCCGUUUUAACAUCCAUUUGAUAUAUCACUAAAUUUUGAAUAACGGCUAAAGCAACAAGAGUUCUAAUAGUCACUAUCUUAGUCACGGGAGAAUACAUGUCAAAGUAAUAAAUGUCUUUCUUUUGGUUAAAACCCUAAUAACAAGUCUAGCCAUAUAUUUCUCAAUUGUACCAUUAAGUCUCAAUUUCUUCUUAAAUAUCCACUUGCUACUUAUGAGUUUACAACCUUUAGGCAAAUCAGACAAGUCCCAAGUGUGAUUAAAAACUAUAGAGUCUAAUUCACUUUUAAUGGUCUCUUUCCAAAAACUAGCAUCUAUUGACCUCAUUGCUUCAUUAUUUGUCUUAAGGUAUUCUUCUAUUAAAUAGAUUGACACUAAUUCAUCACUAAAAAUAUCAAGAUCAAUAUUUUUAGUCAAGAAAGUAGUGAUAAAGUCAGGACCAAAGCUAGUUUCAAUUCCACGUCUCUUACUCCUUCUAAGUUCAUUUUUAUGUUCAUUAGCAAUAACACUAGAAGAAGGCAUAAUAUGAGAAUUAACAGACCUAGAUGUAGAAGCAUUAUUAGGCAUAUCACUAGGCAAAUUAUUUUUCAAUGAAACAACAUGCUCAUAAAAUUCUUCAUCUCUAGAUUCACAAAUAAAACUAUCAUUCAAAGACAUUAAUCUAUAUGCAAUACUAUUUUGAGCAUAACCAAUAAAAAUAGCACCAAAAGUCUUAGGUCUAACAGUUACUUGUUUAAAAUCAGGUAGACCAACCUUAGCCAAACAACUCUACACUUUCAGAUUUUUCAAGUUAUGUGCAAACCCUUUCCAUAACUUAUAAAGAGUUUUAUCUAACUUCUUAUGAAAGGCUUUAUUAAGAACAUAGCAUGCACAUAAAACAGCUUCCCCCUCCUCCUCCCCCCCUCCCCCCCCCACAUAUUAUCAGAUAAACUCAAACUCAAAAGCAUAGAAUUCAUCAUUUCCUUAAGGGUUCUAUUUCUAUUCGGCUACACCAUUUUGUUAGGGAGUUGAGUAUAGGAAUUACUAACCUCAUGUAUAAUUCUAUUUUUCUCACAAAAGACUUCUAGAGUAUUAGUAUUAUAUUCACCAUCCCUGUGAGACCCAAGUCUCUUGAUUUUCUAUCUAAUUAAACUUUUUACUUAUGCCUUGUAUUUCAAAAAUAUGCUUUCAUCCUCAUCUUUUGACUUAAGAAGAUAUACCUUAGUGUAUCUAGAAAAGUCAUCUACAAAAGCAAUGUAGUAUUUCUUUCCACCCUUACUAACAAUGUUCUUGAAAUCUGGUAAGUCUGAAUGCACUAGAUCAAAUAAUUCUGUAUUUCUACUAGUUACAUUCUUAAAAGGCUUUUUGGUAUAUUUUGCCUCUACACAAACAGGACACUUAGAAAAAUUAUCAACAUUAACUGCAGGAAUUAAUUUUAUUUUUCUAAGUCUUUUAAUAGAAGCAAUAUUAACAUGACCUAGUUUACCAUGCCACAAAUCAAUGGACUCAACAAUAUAAGCAUAAUUGAAAGUACUAGCAUUAUUAGUAAUCUCUUGAGCGAUAUUCAGUACACAUAAUCCCCCACUAAGGUAACCUUUCCCAACAAAGUCUCCCCCACGAGGAAUAAUAACUUUAUCAAAUUCAAAAACAAGUUUAAGACCUGCUUUGUUGAGAAGCGCACCAAAAACUAAGUUUUUACGAAGGGAGGGCACAUACAAAAUAUUGUUCAAGGCUAAGGUUUUUCCAGAAGUUAACUUAAGGAGACUUUUUCCUUUACCCAUAACUCCAGUUUUAGUGGAGUUACCCAUGUAGACACACUCGCCAUCAGCAGAUUCCUCAAAAUCGUGAAACAACUCCUUGUUGGCGCAAAGGUGCCUUGAAGCGCUCGUGUCCAGUAUCUAGUCAGUUUUGUUAGCCACCAUGUUUGACUCAAUGACCACAACAGCAAUGACAUCACCAUCCUCAUUAAGGUUAGCUUGGACUGGAGCUUGUUUUGAGCUUUGUCCUUGUCUCUGGUUGCACUGGAAAGCCUCGUGACCAAUUUUGUCGCAUACAUAGCAAGGUCCUUUAGACUUUUGAAUAUGGCCCUCCGGCUUAUUGAAGUAAUUCUACUUCUUCACAUGUCCUUUCUUCUAGCAUUUUUCUAUUUUCCUUUAAACCUGUCUUUCACAAAAGUACUAGAAGAUUCCACAAGGUUAGCUUUAGAAGAACUAAGAAAGAGAGAUUUCAUCUUAUCCUUAAGUCGUUCAACCUUCUCAUGUUUGAGAUGGUUUGCUUCCUUAGCCCUCAUGUGACUGAUCAAUUCUUGAAGAGUUAAGUUUUUCUUCUUGUAUUUCAGUUGAUUCCUGUAAACAUUCCAGGAAGGUGGAGACCUUUCAAGAAGAACAUUAGUCUGAAGAAUCUCGCACAUCUCCAUGCCUUCAUUCAAAACAUCGGCAGUCAAGUUCUCAUACUCGUGAACCUGCUCUAUGAUUGUCUUAUCAUCAACCAUGUGAAACUUGAUCCACUUUCCAACAACAUACUUCUUUUUUCCUGCAUCAUUUGCACCAUAUUUCUUCUCCAAACUGUCCCAUAUGACUUUAGAAGAAUUAUAAUUUAUAAACAAAUCAAAGAGAGGGUUAGUCAUAUGGUUAAGCUGACAGCCUCUAACAGUUUUAUUAUCCUUUUCAAAUUUUUUCUUAGCAGCAACAUCGAUAACAACAUUAGUUGUAGUAUUAGAAUUAUCAGCAACGUAAUCAACUUCUAAUUAUUUAAAGAAAAUUAAAAGUUUUCGAGACCAACGCGUAUAAUUGUUUCCAUCUAAAGGCUCAAGCUUUGACAGGUCAGGAUGUGUUUUGUUCAAAGUGGUAGCCAUUAGUCAAUAUUUGUCAUGACCCAAAACCACAUGUUGGGCGCCUAUCGAAAUGCUAGGCAAGCGGCAACCUCAAUAACCACGCAUUCUUAAAGUUUGAAAACAUAAUAAAAAUGAGUUUAAGAGUAAAAUCUCAUAAAUACAGAUACGAAAAUACCGCAACUCAAUACAAUAUUCCCCUAAAAUUCGGGUGUCACUGAUUACAUGAGCAUCUAUACAGUAACAUAGUCUGAAACACUGUCUAGAAGAGGAGAACAGUACAAAUAGAACUAAAUGAUAAAAGAGGAGAGUCAAGGACUGCGGAUGCCAAAGCAGCUACCUCGAGGGUCUCCGAACUGAAUAAUAGCUCCAAAGUCAGCAACCACCGUACCCAGAAGUACCUGGAUCUGCACACGAAGUGCAGGAUGUAGCGUGAGUACAGCCAACUCAGUAAGUAACAAGUCUAACUUUUGGGCUGAAAGUAGUGACGAGCUUCACAAGUACAGUCCAAUUACAGAAAUACAGUACAGAAAUAUAGGUAUGCUUUCAAGUUCAACAGUUAAAGCUCAAACAGGUAAAACAUGUCAAGUGUAACUGAAAUGAGAAAUGAUACAUCUCGAUGUCUAUAUGUCAGCUAUGUAUGCCAACUGUAAUACAUAGCAGUGAUGAAAUCAUAUGCAUACUCUCAGUCAAUCACUCAGUCCUCUCAUUCACUCCAUCCUCACAUUCACUCAUUCCUCACAGUCACUCAAUGUUCCAGUCGCUCGACACUCGCUCUCGGCACUCGCACUCGCACUUAGUAGGUACCUGCGCUCACUGUGGGUGUGCAGACUUCGGAGGGGCAGAUCCAGUCCAAGCUCUAUAAUAAGACAAUCAUGGCAUGAAUCAAUAAAGCCUGUUGCGGCGUGCAUCCCGAUCCCAUAAAUAUCCUCACAAUCAGGCCCUCGGCUUCACUCAGUCAUCAAUCUCUCCAGUCUCUCGGGAUCACAAAUCUCAUGAUAAUCAACCCAAACAAUGAUGAUAUGAUGUAUUAAUAAAUGACAACAGAGACUGAGAUAUGAUAUGAAAAUGAUAGCUAUGACUGAGUACAAAUCACAAAUUAAAUAAAUAAUUCAAUAUGUAACACGACCUCUGUGGGUCCCAACAGUACCGACAUGUAACCUAUGCAUGAUUUCUAACAUGAAUCAUAGUUCCAUUCUCUUUAAGACAUGGGAAAUACCUGGAAGAUAACAAGUUAUAUGACCGAGUCACAAUUUCCAUGGUGCACUCCCACACGCUCAUCACCUAGCAUGUGCGUCACCUCAACACCAAUCUCAUAACACGUAAUUCGGGGUUUCAUACCCUCAUAACUAAGUUUAGAAGUGUUACUUACCUCAAACCGUGUAAGUCUACUCCAACAAGCCCUUGCUUCUCAAAUCGUCCUCUAAAUGCCUCGAAUCUAGUCACAAAUAAUUCGAUACAAUCAACUCAAGCUAUAUAAAUUAAUUUCAUAUAAAAAUACUAAGUUCUUAAUCAAAAGUCAACCCUCUGGCCCACAUCUCGGAAUCCGAUGAAAGUUAUAAAACCUGAACACCCAUUCAACCACGAGUCCAACCAUACCAAAAUUACUCAAAUCUGAUACCAAAAUCUCGCUCAAAUCUCCAAAAUUUGGCUUAAGAAGUUUUACCAUCCCCCCCCCCCCACAAAAAAAAUUUUCAACCUAAAUCACUAAUUAAAUGAUGAAAUCGAAGAUAUAAUCAUGGAAUUUAACCAAAACUAAGGCCUCAUUUGUUUCCACUUAAUGGAGAUCUGAAUCUUAAUCAUUCACAUCUCAAACAUUAAGUGUGUUUGUUUUUAAAGUCUGAAUCUAAAUCAUUCAAAUCUUGAUCAUUAAGUGUGUUUAUUUCUUUUACUUCACAAUCACUUAAUGGGUCUGAAUAUGUCUGUAUGAUUAAGACCUAUUGUAGACAAUAAAUUGCGCGGAGAAAAUAAAAUCAUGACCGAAAAUAUUGCAACAAUCGUAGUAUUUGAUUUCAAAUAAUUUGAGUGUACAAUCUCUAUAAAUCCUCCGAUUCUUCUUUUCAAUAGCAAAUAAAUCCAACGGGCCUUUGAGCUUGAUCUUGAAUAUGUAGUUUGUUGUCACGAAUGAUGGUCUUGAAUUCAACUAGCACGAACUUCGAUUUGAAAUCGUACUCCUCUGGAUUUGCUCUUCGUUCUUGAGCUUGAACUUGAUUUGUUGAACUUGAACUUGAUUGCUUGAAGCUUGAAACGUAUGGAGGAAUUUGCAGCGUUUGAUCCAGGAGCUCUUUCUUGCAUCUUGUUAUAACUUCUGGUAUUUUUUCUGGGUUAUGAAGACCCCUAUUUAUAGUUGUGGGAGGGAAGAGUUAUGAUAAGAACAAACUCUUUCCGACCAAUCAAAUUGAAGUGUGACAUGCCGCAUUUGAUUGGCGAGAACAUGUCACUUCCACACGUAGCGCGAUUUCAUUGGCCAUUUAAUUUGGCUUGGCAUGCCUUGUCAUUUUGACACGUGGCAUGAUCCCAUUGGCUCUUUCGUUUGACUUGGCGCGCCACGUCAUUUGACACGUGGCACCAAAUUGGGCCUCGAGGAAGAUGACAUCUUGGGCUUAAUGAAGUGGGCUCAUCACUUUAGUCCAAUUAACUAGGCUAGCUCAGUGGAUUAAGACUUAUUUAUUUAAUCCAUAUAUGUUGGACUUAUAUAACUAAUCCAAUUAUAUUAGCCCAAUAAAUUUAUUUGAACUAAUAUAUCUUGAAUUUAAAAUAUAAUCCAAAUUAUUUUACGGAUUUAAUUCCAAUAAAAUUUAUAUGCCUACAAAUACCCCUUACUUCAAGACUUGUAAAAGUAUAAAUAUGUUGAUCUUAAAAGACUAGGCUUGAAGUAUUAGCGUAGCAUUAAAUUUGAAGCUUGGAUUAGAUAAAAUUAACCACGCAGUAUAUUCCUUGAGACUUUUUGUAGUCAAUUCUUAUUAAAUAGGAAUAAUGCUAACGUAGGUACAGAAUAUUUAGCACUUGAAAAUCCAACAUUACCAAUGAUUCAGUUUUCCCUUCUUUCUAAAAGAAUCCAACAAUAAUCAAGCUAGAUUAGUUGAAUUCAUAUGUUGUCUUUACUGCAUCCACAUGGCAUUUAAUUUGGCAAUUUACUUUGCUUUAAACAAUAACGUAACCACAUAGGACCGUUUGACACAUGAUUUGUGUCACACCCUUUUUUACCCAAAAAAAAAGAUAUAUGUAUGUUAUUGUAUGGAUCGUGGGUUAAAGAGUUUUUUCAAUUGAAGUGACAAAUUUGAAUAGAGAUUAUUUUAUUUAUAGAGUCGCCACUUGGAAUUGAUUUUUCGGUAUUCCAAGUCACAUUUUAUUUGAAUCCCUAAUCAAAGGAAGGUUUGACUCUAUUAUUAAUUGGUCUGCGAAAAUAAAGUUCGAGUAAGAAAUUCUGUUGACCGAGAAGAAGGUGUAAUGCAUUCCCCGAGUCCCGUGGUUCUAGCACGGUCGCUUUAUUGACUUAAACUUGGCUUGAAUUUAUUUUGGAUAAACUGUGUUUAUUUAGAUUUUCAUGUUUUACCUAUCUACUUUUAAUUAUUAAAAUUAUUAAAGAAAAGAUUUGAAUAAAAUUGUCCUAACCGCACCACGCAAACGAAUGUGUGACCGAGAUAAAUUUUAUUGAUUUUGUCAUAAUCGCGCUACGCAAGCGAAUCCGCAGUCAUAACGAGGAUUAUUAGUACGCUAUUAUUUUUGGAGAAAAUUACUACAUUCGAAGAAAAUAAUUUUGAAAUUUAUUAAAAGUUAACUAUCGCGCUACGCAAACGAAUCCGCGAGUUUAGCAAUAGAUUUAUUAAAUUAAAAAUUAACUAAAACUAACGAGUACGGUAUGACAUUAUUGAAUUAAAUUAUUGAAUGUUAAACAUCACGUUACGCAAGCGAUUCCAUGAAGUUAAAGUACGCUUACUAAUUGCCUAGCGUCAAAAUUAAUUAAAAAGCGCUUCUUUUUUAUUUAUUACUUGUUCGACCGAAAAAAAAUGAUAUUAUUAUUAAAAAAUAAUUUUUAACUAAUGCAAGACAUUAAACCCGGGUAAGUUUAUGUUAAACUUUCAUGGUAUUAGGCCACUUAUUUUAUUUUACAAAAGAUAAUUUAUUGAUUUUAAAGAAAAUGCCUAUCUUACUUUCUAUUGUCAUUGGGCCUAUAAAUUUUAGCUUAUUUGGCCCAUGUUGCUUAAGAGCGUGAUGACCAAGACAACACAAAAUAACAAAUAUUCUUCUAAACCCAAAUUGCUUCUUACUUUAAUGUCCAAACUAAAAAUUAUUUUUCAUAAAAGAAACUUACAUGCUAAUUAUUAUCUUUUAUCUUCUUAACCAACUAUUUCUUAAGGACUAACAUAAUAUUUCUACUCAUCUACACCAACAUGACACUAAUCAAACUACACCCAUAAAAACCACGACUAAAUAUAAAAACUACAAAAAACGGUAAUACUUUAAUGCUAAAGAGAAAAACUAUAUUAUAACAUUAUGUUGACUAUAAUUUAAAGCAUCAAAACAUUUGAAGCUAGAAGUCUUUCUUAGAUAAUUAUACAUGAACCAUGAAAGUAACUCACAAAAAAGAUCCCAAACUAAACAAACAUGGUUAAAAGUGGGGUCUUUAUCUUUUCCUUAAACUAAGUAAUCUUAACAAAAUACAAUUUCAAUCACAUAUAUAAAGAAGAAAACGAUAAUUUAAGUAAUUUUUAACAGAUUUACAUGAUAAUAACACUAAUAUAAUAUUCAUCUUGAGACAAAAUCAGAUCUAACAUGUUCCAUCAACCAAACUGGGAUCAAAUCCUUCUUAUUAUCAUCAAGAAUCUGCAAUAUAAGAAUUUGAAAGUUACCUGAUUUGUAGAAUAAUAAAAUACACCAGUGCAACAACAAUACAUUCAACAGCAAAUACAGUAGAAACAGCAGCAACUCAAGUGUUAAGACAACCCAGAAAACUCAAUAAAGAUGCUUGAAACUGGUAGCUAUCAAUUUCACAAAUUGCCUAAGGAAUCUUUCUAUUUUUCUCAAAGUUUUUGCACUCAAAUAAUCCUCACAAAGCUCAGAAAUUUUAGCUUGCUAUAUGUAUUAAACUGGUAAUUUUUCUCAAAGAUAUAUGUCUUUAAGCAACUUUUCAAGAUGUGUCCAAGUGUAAGAUAGAGUGUGUGCCCCUUUUAUAGGAGAAGAGCAGUCAUUUAAAUAGGCAAAUAAAUUAGAUUUUUUGGACAGAUUUUGAUUCACCAAAAGUCUGUCCAAAAGACUGACUUUGUGUGUUAAAACAUUGUUCAAAAGCUGUCAAAAAGUAUUGUAUUUGUCACCACACAAUAACUUUUGAGUUUUGUACUCCAAAGUCUUUGCACAGUAAAAACAACCAAACUUGUACUAUUUCUUCUUUAAUUUCAGCUUUUAUCAACACAAAAUUCAAAUACUCAAAUCCAAUAAAAAUAAAUUCACUAAGCACUUGAAACUUUUAUCAUAAACUUUCAUGACUAAGCGAAUAGCUAUUUCAAAACUAAUGAAUAACUAAUUAUCAGUGAUUAAUAACUAUGAACGACUAAGCCAACAUAGAUUAAACACAACUAAUAAUAAAAAUAUAAAUAAUAUAAAUAAUAAUAAUAAAAAUAAAAAAAUAAAAAAUCAUAAUUUAUGCUAGACAUAAACUAAAUACAACACAAUUAGAAAAAAUAGACAAAGGAAAUGAGAAUAGGGGUAUACCAAACGAGGGCGUUCAGGGUGGUUGCCGGAAUUUGGCCGGAUUUUUAAUUGUCGAAUUUUCGGGAUGGAAUUGACAUCAAUAGGUAGGUCUUGAUGAGCUAUAUCCGUUGAUGUAGGUAUUGUGGGGUGGUAGUGGCCAGAACUUCAAGAUUUUGGGCAAAAAAGUGGCAGCUAAAGUUUUCUAGAUCUAAAAUUCAAGGAGUUUGAAGAGGUUUUGAAGGAUUUGGUUUAGAGAUAUGGAAUGAGGAGGUUGUGGAGAUUACAUGGUGUGAAUUUGGGGGUGUUUGGAGGUUGGCCGCCUCCGGUGGGCGAUUUUCGGCGGGCGGUAGCGGUGGUGGGGGCGGAUAUGUGAGAGAGAAGAGAGAGAAAGAAGAAAAGA
rnacentral:lncRNA from 1 species